GUCCACCAGCCGCUUUAGUUCUUCAGAGUUAUCUCGAGGGUCCUCCUCUGUAGGCGUCACCUUGAGUAUGGAAUGAUCUGGUUCAGGUUCAUGCAAAACUCCUGCUUCUUUUGUUGUAUUAGAGGUUUUAAAAGGUGAAUUCUGCUGAGACUCUAAAUUUAGGCCAAGAUGUGAAACUUGAGGAACAGGCAGGCAUAUAUCC
rnacentral:pre_miRNA from 1 species